CUGGAUGCUGUCAGAGGCAACGACACGUUUGUGACAUUUGAGGAGAUCAUGAAAUGUGCAAAGCAAAAUGAGGUGGAUUUCGUGUUGCUGGGUGGUGAUCUUUUCCAUGACAACAAGCCCUCACGCAAAGCCAUGCACAACUGCAUGGAGGCCAUGCGGCAGUACUGCAUGGGGGACAAGCCCAUCCUCUUCGAGGUCCUUAGUGACCAGGCCGUCAACUUCUGCAACAGCAAGUUUCCAUGGGUGAACUACCAGGAUGAAAACCUGAACAUCUCCAUUCCUGUUUUUAGUGUGCAUGGAAACCAUAAUGACCCAACUGGGGUAAGGGAAACUGUCAGCUCUGAAGCUGGAUGCCUCCCAUUGGAUAAGUAC